rnacentral:tRNA from 1 species
GCUGACAUGGCGAAAUUGGGAUACGCGGCAGGCUCAAACCCUGCUGGAGAGAUCCAUGCCGGUUCGAAUCCGGCUGUCAGUA